rnacentral:tRNA from 1 species
GCAUUGGCAGUUUUGUGGUAGAAUUCUUGCCUUUCAUGCAGGAGACCAGGGUUUGAUUCCCGACCAAAGCA